AUUGAACGCUGGCGGCAUGCCUUACACAUGCAAGUCGAACGGCAGCACGGACUUCGGUCUGGUGGCGAGAGGCGAACGGGUGAGUAAUGUAUCGGAACGUGCCCAGUCGUGGGGGAUAACGUAGUGAAAAUUACGCUAAUACCGCAUACGAUCUAUGGAUGAAAGCGGGGGAUCGCAAGACCUCGCGCGAUUGGAGCGGCCGAUAUCAGAUUAGGUAGUUGGUGGGGUAAAGGCCCACCAAGCCAACGAUCUGUAGCUGGUCUGAGAGGACGACCAGCCACACUGGAACUGAGACACGGUCCAGACUCCUACGGGAGGCAGCAGUGGGGAAUUUUGGACAAUGGGCGAAAGCCUGAUCCAGCCAUUCCGCGUGAAGGAUGAAGGCCCUCGGGUUGUAAACUGCUUUUGUACAGAACGAAAAGGUUUCUACUAAUACUAGGAGCUCAUGACGGUACUGUAAGAAUAAGCACCGGCUAACUACGUGCCAGCAGCCGCCGUAA
rnacentral:rRNA from 1 species